CGCGCGCCUUCGUCUUUCCCCAGUUGGUUGUGCGCUUUCCUUGCUCUGCGUGUCCGGUUUUUUUCCUUCCUCUCACGCCAGGCGCGUGUGUAAGAGGAGGGAACGGACUGGAUGCGCAGCGGGACGCGUCCUCGGUGAAGACACGAGGAGAAGUCAGCAGUCUGCAAAUCGGAGGAGAGCCUCACCAGAACUCAACCAUAUUAGCACCACCCUGAUCCAAGAAUUCCAGGCUCCAGAACUUCAGAGGAGAAAGCAUCACCCAGCUAUUACCAAAAAACUCUCUCCUUGUGAUAAGGUAAGUUGUCAACCUCAUCUUUAAAAAAUUAUAGCAGGAUAUUGCUGACAGAGUAACAAGGGAUUUUUGGAUCUUCUGCUAAUCUUUCGCCUCAUUAAUUUUUCUUUUUUCUUGGUCCAGAAUUUGAGAAGAAUAGUUGACGAGGUCUUCUUCAAAAGGAAAGGUUAUAUAAUUUCAUUAUUAUUGCAUCAUUCCCAAAGACCUUGGCAGCUAGAAUCCAUCUUAAAAUAAUGGUCAUCAAACUCAGGAAACUCUAUGUCUUGGGGUACACUAGGGCCACGUUAUACAGUUGCACAGCAGAGUCCCUGGGGUAAUGAGACAGGUUAGCUAGCAUGUUGUUAGGUAGACAGGGAAGUCCCUGGUAGAAUAAAACAAAGGCAGCCAUAUCUUGGAAAUCCAGGUUCUGAAAUGACUCAUUUGCUCCAGGGCAAAAAUGUAAUCCUGCCUGGGGGUAAAAGGGUUAUUUCGUAAAUCCCUUUAGGCUGGGCAACAGAGCGAAUCUGAUAGACAAAAUCCAUUAGAAGGCACCAACUCCCUUCCCCAAGCAUGCAUGAGAAAGUAUAAAAGUAAGAGCCUUUUACCUUAGCCAGUGGGCAUCCCAGUUUCAGGUAUCCCCUCUCGUAAUAAAAUAAAAGUCUUUGCUCCUUUACCUCUCCUUCCAAGUCCACGUUCUCAUUCUUGGGUAUGUGAGACCACGAUCUCCAAGCACCAGACACCAGGAUCAUAUCAGUAAAAGGUACCUUUCAAGGCUGUAUGAGGGCGUGGAUAGGUCUGUUCUUUCUGACCACUGCCUUCAUGUUUACCAUAUUCUUAUUUUACAAAAACAAAAAUCUUAUCUCGCAUCCAUCCCAAAUCUCACUACAAUGCAUGCCUCAAGGGCUGUGUUGUCCAUAUGGGUACUGAGCACCUGAAAUGUAGCUGGUCAGAAUUAAGAUUUGCUGUUUGUGUAAAAUACUACAAGAUUUCAAGAACUGAGCACCCCAAAUCAGAAAGAAUAUGAAAUACUUCAUUUUAAAUUUUUUAUAAUGAUUGAAUGUUGCAUUUUACUUCUAUUAGAUGGUACUAUUCUAGAGCAUCAAACAAAGGGACAUAAAUACUGCUUUCAGAGAAGCCUCCAAUGUAAGGCACCAAGAACUUGUGUUCAGGCUUCUAAUCUUUUCUUCUCUUAAGAGUGGGUAGUUUGGUAUUUAAAUUGAGUACUUGGUAAAUGUAUUAAUUCAGAUAUUUGUAGAGUGGGGUUAUAAGAAUGAUGAUAAUUUCACUCAAAGAAAGCACUGCUCCAUUGAUGGAGAGUACCUAGAGAACAAAGCAGAAUAUCCAUGAGAAAUACUAGUGUCAUCUUAUGUCAUCCAGGUGACAAGCUCAUGCCAGGUUGCGUGCCUUACUUAGCACUCAGAAUGAGUAUGAGAUGAGUCUCAAGGUAUGUCCCAGAACCAGGAAAUGAUUGACUCAUGACUGGAUAAUCAAUCCUUUAGUAAUUCAGGUGGAUUCUAGAUUGACUCAUGACUGGAUAAUCAAUCCUUUAGUAAUUCAGGUGGAUUCUAAUUUGCUGCUUUCAACAAAUUUGAAGGAGAACGUUAAGUGGUUUGUUGAUAAGUUAAAAUAACCUUUAAUGAGCAAUUGCUAUGAUACUUCUCACAUGUAAUUCAGAAAUUGAAAGAGUUGAAUGAUUUUUGUUAUAACAAAACUUCAUUUUCAUCUACUUAUGAAAACCUUGUUUCUCUUGCC